GACGUAGGGGGCUAGCGUUGUCCGGAAUCAUUGGGCGUAAAGCGCGUGUAGGCGGUCCGGUAAGUCCGCUGUGAAAGUCGGGGGCUCAACCCUCGAAUGCCGGUGGAUACUGUCGGGCUAGAGUGCGGAAGAGGCGAGUGGAAUUCCUGGUGUAGCGGUGAAAUGCGCAGAUAUCAGGAGGAACACCAAUUGCGAAGGCAGCUCGCUGGGACGUUACUGACGCUGAGACGCGAAAGCGUGGGGAGCAAACAGG
rnacentral:rRNA from 1 species